UACGUAGGGUGCGAGCGUUGUCCGGAAUUAUUGGGCGUAAAGGGCUCGUAGGCGGUUUGUCGCGUCGGGAGUGAAAACCAGGUGCUUAACACCUGGCUUGCUUUCGAUACGGGCAGACUAGAGGUAUUCAGGGGAGAACGGAAUUCCUGGUGUAGCGGUGAAAUGCGCAGAUAUCAGGAGGAACACCGGUGGCGAAGGCGGCUCACUGGUCCGGUACUGACGCUGAGGUGCGAAAGCGUGGGGAGCAAACAGG
rnacentral:rRNA from 1 species